rnacentral:rRNA from 1 species
GCUCCAGACUCCUACGGGAGGCAGCAGUGGGGAAUAUUGCACAAUGGGGGAAACCCUGAUGCAGCGACGCCGCGUGAGUGAAGAAGUAUUUCGGUAUGUAAAGCUCUAUCAGCAGGGAAGAUAAUGACGGUACCUGACUAAGAAGCCCCGGCUAACUACGUGCCAGCAGCCGCGGUAAUACGUAGGGGGCAAGCGUUAUCCGGAUUUACUGGGUGUAAAGGGUGCGUAGGUGGCAUGGCAAGUCAGAAGUGAAAGCCCGGGGCUCAACCCCGCGGACUGCUUUUGAAACUGUCAGGCUGGAGUACAGGAGAGGUAAGCGGAAUUCCUAGUGUAGCGGUGAAAUGCGUAGAUAUUAGGAGGAACACCAGUGGCGAAGGCGGCUUACCGGACUGUAACUGACACUGAGGCACGAAAGCGUGGGGGGCAAACAGGAUUAGAUACCCUAGUA